UGACUUACCUGGGUGUGGUCAUCGUGUGAUCAAGAAGGCCCAGGGUCAGGGCCUGCAACCUCCAUUGCAUGUGGGAGGGGUGUUGGUUUUCCAUCUCUCCAAGUAGGAGAAUGGAUGUCAUAAUUUGUGAUAGUGGGGGUACGCAUUCAUGCAGUCCCUAU
rnacentral:snRNA from 1 species